AUGGUUCAGGUGUUGAGUCAGAUGAUUCGUUUGGGCCUCUCAGGAUGCUUUAGAAGUCCCUGGGCUGGUGUGGGAUUCAGAUCCUUCUCAUGAGCUCCAUAAAAAACACAGAGGGGGUGGGAUUCCCCUGUCCCAGGCAGAAGUGAGCACAGCAUGGAUGUCUGCAUGCAAGAUCUUGGUCUAUGUUCAAUGGAGAUGGAGGGUGGGAGUCAGUUGCUCAUACACAAACAACUGGUGACAUUUGAAGAGACAGAGGUGAAACCAGGCUAAAACAGGAACUCACAGCUCAACUCCAGGGCAAUAAGGCAGCAUACAAGAAGCAGAAGGAGGGAUAUGCAGCAAAGGAGGAAUUCAAAAAUUGUGUCCACCAAAACAGACAUGGUGUUAGGGAGGCCAAAGCUCUCAGAGGGUGCACACUGGCAGUGGACAUCAAAGGCAUGAAGAAGAGCUGCUACUGCUUCAGGAACGGUGAAGAAUAAAAGGGAAAAUGUUGGUUUCUUGCUGAAGGGGGCAGAGAACCUAGUAAGAGCAGAUGUAGGUAGGUCUGAGGAGCUCAGGGCCUUUUUGGCUUCCGUCUUCUCCAGCAAGGUCUCCUGGGCUGUUGUGCCUUGAGUCAGGGCUCCAGGCAAGAAAAGCAACCAAAAGUGCAUGAGGGCUGAGUGAGGGAUGACUUGCAAGAACUCCACCCCUACAAGUCAGUGGGAUUGGAACAGCUGCACCAAAGGACAUUGAGAGAGCUGGCCACUGUCAUAGCAAGGCUGCCCUCUGUCAUCCUUGAGAGGUCGUGGAGAUGGGGGUGAGGUCCCAAUAACUGCAGAAAGGCAAACGUUACAUCCACUCUCAAGAAAGGCCCAGAGGGCAACCCAGGGAGCAACAGGCCAUUCAGCCUCAAUUGGUUGAGGAGUGUGUCGUGGAGUGAGUCCACUCAUUUCUGGGCACAURAGGGAGAAGAAGGUGAUAGGGAAGAGGCAGCAUGGAUUGGCUCAGGGUAAAUUGUGCCUCACCAGCCUGAUUGCCUUCUAGGAUCACAUAGCUCUUUGUGUUUGGAGAGAAGAAAAUGUCUUUCAACUUGAUUUGAGCAAGGGGUUUGACACUGUCUCCCACAAUAGCCUUGUGGAAUACAAUUUAGAAAUUUACCAUCUAGAUGGCUGGACAACCAUAUGGCUAAAGAACUUGUGGGAUGAUGAGGCUCAGAGGGCAGUGGUGAAUGGGUAGUACUCCUCCUGGAGGCCAGGGAGAAGUGGAGCACCACAGGGUCUCUCCAAGAACAUAUCCUGUUCAACAACUUUAUUAGUGACAUGGAAGAGGCAAUGCUCACUACUUUUGUUGAGGACAAAAAAACUGCAGGGGGGCCCCAGCCACAUGCUUGAGGGCUGCUAUUCAGAGAGACCUAGACAGGCAGGAGCAAUGGGCUGACAAUACCUGGAGUCCAGGGCAUGAGCCACCUCAUCUGCAGCCAGACCUCUGGCAGAGGAGAGA
rnacentral:lncRNA from 1 species